GUGGGGAAUUUUGGACAAUGGGCGCAAGCCUGAUCCAGCAAUGCCGCGUGCAGGAUGAAGGCCUUCGGGUUGUAAACUGCUUUUGUACGGAACGAAAAGCCCUGGGUUAAUACCCUGGGGUCAUGACGGUACCGUAAGAAUAAGCACCGGCUAACUACGUGCCAGCAGCCGCGGUAAUACGUAGGGUGCGAGCGUUAAUCGGAAUUACUGGGCGUAAAGCGUGCGCAGGCGGUUUUGUAAGACAGAGGUGAAAUCCCCGGGCUCAACCUGGGAACUGCCUUUGUGACUGCAAGGCUAGAGUACGGCAGAGGGGGAUGGAAUUCCGCGUGUAGCAGUGAAAUGCGUAGAUAUGCGGAGGAACACCGAUGGCGAAGGCAAUCCCCUGGGCCUGUACUGACGCUCAUGCACGAAAGCGUGGGGAGCAAACAGGAUUAGAAACCCCGGUAGUCC
rnacentral:rRNA from 1 species